rnacentral:rRNA from 1 species
GACGAACGCUGGCGGCGUGCUUAACACAUGCAAGUCGAACGGAAAGGCCCUGCUUUUGUGGGGUGCUCGAGUGGCGAACGGGUGAGUAACACGUGAGUAACCUGCCCUUGACUUUGGGAUAACUUCAGGAAACUGGGGCUAAUACCGGAUAGGAGCUCCUGCUGCAUGGGGGGGGUUGGAAAGAUUCGGCGGUUGGGGAUGGACUCGCGGCUUAUCAGCUUGUUGGUGGGGUAGUGGCUUACCAAGGGUUUGACGGGUAGCCGGCCUGAGAGGGUGACCGGCCACCUUGCGACUGCGAUACGGCCCAGACUCCUACGGGAGGCAGCAGUGGGGAAUAUUGCACAAUGGGCGGAAGCCUGAUGCAGCAACGCCGCGUGCGGGAUGACGGCCUUCGGGGUGUAAACCGCUUUCGCCUGUGACGAAGCGUGAGUGACGGUAAUGGGUAAAGAAGCACCGGCUAACUACGUG